GAUGAAGAACGCAGCGAAAUGCGAUAAGUAAUGUGAAUUGCAGAAUUCAGUGAAUCAACGAAUCUUUGAACGCACAUUGCGCCCUCUGGUAUUCCGGGGGGCAUGCCUGUUCGAGCGUCAUUAUAACCACUCAAGCUCUCGCUUGGUAUUGGGGUUCGCGGUUUCGCGGCCCCUAAAAUCAGUGGCGGUGCCUGUCGGCUCUACGCGUAGUAAUACUUCUCGCGAUUGAGUUCGAUAGGUCUACUUGCCAGUAACCCCCAAUUUUUACAGGUUGACCUCGGAUCAGGUAGGGAUACCCGCUGAACUUAAGCAUAUCAAUAAGCGGAGGA
rnacentral:misc_RNA from 1 species